GCGAAUGGCUCAUUACAACAGCUAUAAUUUACUUGUUCUAUUCCUUUAAACGGAUAACUGCGGUAAUUCUGGAGCCAAUACGUGCUAAAAGCCGAAUUCAGCAAUGAGUUCGGUGCACUUAUCGGAGCAAAACCCUUCCUGGUUUUAUGCUAACUCUGGAUAACACUGCUUAUCGCACGACCUCGUGUCGGCGAAGUUACAUUCAAGUAUCUGCCUUAUCAACUUUCGAUGGUAGUGUAUUGGACUGCCAUGGUGUUGACGGGUAACGGAGAAUCAGGGUUCGACUCCGGAGAGGGAGCCUUAGAAACGGCUACCAUGUCUAAGGACAGCAGCAGGCGCGCAACUUAUCCACUGUUCAUUGAACGAGAUAGUGACGAGAAAUAACAAGUCCGUUCUCUAUGAGGUCGGACAUUGGAAUGGAUGGAAUCUAAACAAUUCCAUGAGUACCCACGAGAGGGCAAGUCUGGUGCCAGCAGCCGCGGUAAUUCCAGCU
rnacentral:rRNA from 1 species